AUUGAACGCUGGCGGCAUGCUUUACACAUGCAAGUCGAACGGCAGCACAGGGAGCUUGCUCCUGGGUGGCGAGUGGCGAACGGGUGAGUAAUGUAUCGGAACGUGCCUGGUAGUGGGGGAUAACUACUCGGAAGAGUGGCUAAUACCGCAUGAGAUCUUUGGAUGAAAGCGGGGGACCUUCGGGCCUCGUGCUACUGGAGCGGCCGAUAUCAGAUUAGGUUGUUGGUGGGGUAAAGGCCUACCAAGCCUGCGAUCUGUAGCUGGUCUGAGAGGACGACCAGCCACACUGGGACUGAGACACGGCCCAGACUCCUACGGGAGGCAGCAGUGGGGAAUUUUGGACAAUGGGCGCAAGCCUGAUCCAGCAAUGCCGCGUGCAGGACGAAGGCCUUCGGGUUGUAAACUGCUUUUGUACAGAACGAAAAGUCUCUGGCUAAUAUCUAGAGAUCAUGACGGUACUGUAAGAAUAAGCACCGGCUAACUACGUG
rnacentral:rRNA from 1 species